UACGGAGGGUGCAAACGUUGCUCGGAAUCAUUGGGCGUAAAGCGCACGUAGGCGGUCCGCUAUGUCGGGUGUGAAAGCCCUCGGCUUAACCGAGGAAGUGCAUUCGAAACUGGCGGACUUGAGUACCGGAGAGGGUCGCGGAAUUCCUGGUGUAGCGGUGAAAUGCGCAGAUAUCAGGAGGAACACCGAUGGCGAAGGCAGUUCUCUGGGCCGUAACUGACGCUGAGGAGCGAAAGCGUGGGGAGCGAACAGG
rnacentral:rRNA from 1 species